UACGUAGGGACCAAGCGUUGUUCGGAUUUACUGGGCGUAAAGGGCGCGUAGGCGGCUUGACAAGUCACUUGUGAAAUCUCCGGGCUUAACUCGGAACGGCCAAGUGAAACUGUCAAGCUAGAGUGCAGAAGGGGCAAUCGGAAUUCUUGGUGUAGCGGUGAAAUGCGUAGAUAUCAAGAGGAACACCUGAGGUGAAGACGGGUUGCUGGGCUGACACUGACGCUGAGGCGCGAAAGCUAGGGGAGCGAACAGG
rnacentral:rRNA from 1 species